GAAUAUUGGACAAUGGGCGAAAGCCUGAUCCAGCCAUGCCGCGUGUGUGAAGAAGGUCUUCGGAUUGUAAAGCACUGUAAGUUGGGAGGCAUGGCAGUAAGCGAAUACCAUGCUGUUUUGACGUUACCGACAGAAUAAGCACCGGCUAACCCUGUGCCCGCAGCCGCGGUAAUACAGGGGGUGCAAGCGUUAAUCGGCAUUACUGGGCGGAAAGCGCGUGUAGGUGGUUCGUUAAGUUGGAUGUGAAAUCCCCGGGCUCAACCUGGGGACUGCAUCCAAAACUGGCGAGCUAGAGUAGGGCAGAGGGUGGUGGAAUUUCCUGUGUAGCGGUGAAAUGCGUAGAUAUAGGAAGGAACACCAGUGGCGAAGGCGACCACCUGGGCUCAUACUGACACUGAGGUGCGAAAGCGUGGGGAGCAAACAG
rnacentral:rRNA from 1 species